AGUCGAGCGAGCUGAACCGCAGAUUCACUUCGGUGAUGACGCUGGGAACGCGAGCGGCGGAUGGGUGAGUAACACGUGGGUAACCUGCCCUAAAGUCUGGGAUACCACUUGGAAACAGGUGCUAAUACCGGAUAACAACAAUAGCUGCAUGGCUAUUGCUUAAAAGGCGGCGAAAGCUGUCGCUAAAGGAUGGACCCGCGGUGCAUUAGCUAGUUGGUAAGGUAAUGGCUUACCAAGGCGACGAUGCAUAGCCGAGUUGAGAGACUGAUCGGCCACAUUGGGACUGAGACACGGCCCAAACUCCUACGGGAGGCAGCAGUAGGGAAUCUUCCACAAUGGGCGAAAGCCUGAUGGAGCAACGCCGCGUGAGUGAAGAAGGUUUUCGGAUCGUAAAGCUCUGUUGUUGGUGAAGAAGGAUAGAGGUAGUAACUGGCCCCUAUUUGACGGUAAUCAACCAGAAAGUCACGGCUAACUACGUGCCAGCAGCCGCGGUAAUACGUAGGUGGCAAGCGUUGUCCGGAUUUAUUGGGCGUAAAGCGAGCGCAGGCGGAAAGAUAAGUCUGAUGUGAAAGCCCCCGGCUUAACCGAGGAAUUGCAUCGGAAACUGUGUUUCUUGAGUGCAGAAGAGGAGAGUGGAACUCCAUGUGUAGCGGUGGAAUGCGUAGAUAUAUGGAAGAACACCAGUGGCGAAGGCGGCUCUCUGGUCUGUAACUGACGCUGAGGCUCGAAAGCAUGGGUAGCG
rnacentral:rRNA from 1 species